GACGAACGCUGGCGGCGUGCUUAACACAUGCAAGUCGAACGGUGAAGCGCCUUCCUUUUUGGUGGGUGUGGAUGAGUGGCGAACGGGUGAGUAACACGUGAGUAACCUGCCCCCUUCUUCUGGAUAACCGCAUGAAAGUGUGGCUAAUACGGGAUAUUCUGGGUCUGUCGCAUGAUGGGUCUGGGAAAGAUAUUGUUUCGGUGGGGGAUGGGCUCGCGGCCUAUCAGCUUGUUGGUGGGGUGAUGGCCUACCAAGGCGGUGACGGGUAGCCGGCCUGAGAGGGUGGACGGUCACACUGGGACUGAGACACGGCCCAGACUCCUACGGGAGGCAGCAGUGGGGAAUAUUGCACAAUGGGCGCAAGCCUGAUGCAGCGACGCCGCGUGAGGGAUGGAGGCCUUCGGGUUGUGAAGCUCUUUCGCCAGUGAAGCAGGCCUGCCUCGUUUGUGGGUGGGUUGACGGUAGCUGGAUAAGAAGCGCCGGCUAACUACGUG
rnacentral:rRNA from 1 species